rnacentral:ncRNA from 1 species
AUUAUGUAGCAUAGUAUAUUGACAUUUUUCUCUCUUUAUUAAAAGAAAAGAAUUGAAAGUUCUUGUAAUCGGGUGGCUAUGAAAAUAUAUAUAACUGAUUAUACAAAAAUGAUUAGAGGCAUUAGGGUCGAAACGAUCUUAAGUUAUUCUCAAACUUUAAAUGUGUAAGAAUCUGACAUUUCUUAAGAAGGUAUGAAGGUUGUGGUUGGGAUGUAAUGUGCCCAAUGGGCCAAUAUUGGUAAGCAGAACUGGUGGUGCCGGAUGAACCAAACAUAAUAUUACGGUGCCCAAAUUAACAACUCAUGCAAAUACCAUGAAAAGCGUUGGUUGCUUCAAACAGCAGGACAGUGGACAUGGAAGUCGCAAUCCGCUAGGGAGUGUGUAAAAACUCACCUGCCGAGCCACCUAGCUCGUAAAAUGGAUGGCGCUAAACUUGUAUACCUAUACAUUACCGCUAAAGUAAAUGGUUGAAUUUCAAUUUAUUCGGGUUUGUAAACUUCAAAACUAUAGUGAGUAGGAGGGUACAAGGGUGAGCGUAGAAGUGUUUGACGUAAGCCUGCAUAGAGCCGCCAUUGGUACAGAUCUUGGUGGUAGUAGCAAAUAAUCGAAUGAGAACUUGGAGGACUGAAGUGGACAAGGGUUUCGUGCGAACAGUGGUUGAUCACGAGUUAGUCAGUCCUAAGUUCACGGCGAAAGCUGAAAAUUUUCAAGUUACAUAUUGAGGGUAUAUUUACAUGUAUAAAUAAUGUGAAUAUAAUUAAACGAAAGGGAAUACGAUCCAAUUUCCUAAACUGUUGAGUAUCCGUUUGUUUAUUAAAUUAAAUAUUAAACCAUCCUGGCAACAGAAACGACCAUAAAGAAGCCGUCGAGAGAUGUCGGAUGAGUUUUCUUUUCUGUUUGAUAGUCGUACUACCAUUCAAAUCCUUCGAAGAGAGACAUGGUAGGUGGUCUAGAAGAGCAUGACAUUUAUUGUUGUGUCGAUAUUUCUUCUUGGGCCUUGAAAAUUUUCCUUCCUUCAAACUUCUCAACAGGCCGUACCAAUAUCCGCAGCUGGUCUCCAAGGUAAAGCUUCGAGAU